rnacentral:misc_RNA from 1 species
GUGAGUAUGUGUUUAUGUGUAAAAGUUGCUCUCAUCGAAGCCGAAGAACGGUUUUGUUUGUUGCUCUCUUUCUCUCUCUAAGAACCCAUCUGAAAUUCCAAUUUUGCCCUUCUAGAUAGUGGCGAAAACCGGUUUUGUAGAGGGAGAAAGUUGUAAUUUUACAUUUUUUUCCCUUUGAGAUAUAGGGGAGAGAGGAAAAAAAAAGUAAAAAAAAAAAA